rnacentral:rRNA from 1 species
UACAGGGGGUGCAAACGUUGCUCGGAAUCAUGGCGUAAAGCGCACGUAGGCGGUCUGUUAUGUCGGGAUGUGAAGCCCUCGGCUCAACUGAGGAAGUGCAUCCGAAACUGGCAGGCUAGAGUACUAAAGGAGGGUCGCGGAAUUCCCGGUGUAGAGGUGAAAUUCGUAGAUAUCGGGAGGGAACACCGGUGGCGAAGGCGGCGACCUGGGUAGAUACUGACGCUGAGGUGCGAAAGCGUGGGGAGCAAACAGG